rfam:Clostridium sp. DL-VIII chromosome, whole genome shotgun sequence.
GAAAUCCGUUCUGAAAAGAUUAAGUCAAAUCAUUCAGUAGCGAGUCAUGGAGAUAAAUAGGUAACUAUUUAUUUUAAGCGUUGACAGUUAGGUUGUAGGCUUGAAUGUGAAUGAGCCUCGUAAUAAGUAUAAAGUUGGGAAGGCUGACGGUGUCGGUUCUCUGGAAAGCAAUAUUAUGGUAGGCGAUAAUGACGAGUCUACUAUAACUUCCUCGGGGUCAAAGAGCC